AUUGAACGCUGGCGGCAUGCUUUACACAUGCAAGUCGAACGGCAGCGCGGGCUUCGGCCUGGCGGCGAGUGGCGAACGGGUGAGUAAUGCAUCGGAACGUGCCCAGUAGUGGGGGAUAGCCCGGCGAAAGCCGAUUAAUACCGCAUACGACCUGAGGGUGAAAGCGGGGGACCGAAAGGCCUCGCGCUAUUGGAGCGGCCGAUGUCGGAUUAGCUAGUUGGUGGGGUAAAGGCUUACCAAGGCGACGAUCCGUAGCUGGUCUGAGAGGACGACCAGCCACACUGGGACUGAGACACGGCCCAGACUCCUACGGGAGGCAGCAGUGGGGAAUUUUGGACAAUGGGGGCAACCCUGAUCCAGCCAUGCCGCGUGCGGGAAGAAGGCCUUCGGGUUGUAAACCGCUUUUGUUCGGGAAGAAAUCCUCUGGGCUAAUACCCCGGGGGGAUGACGGUACCGGAAGAAUAAGCACCGGCUAACUACGUG
rnacentral:rRNA from 1 species